AUGGCCUCAAACAGCAUAACUUCAACAUCAAGAUCUAAAGAUAAACUUUGGAUAAAUAGGGAGAAUCUUCGGUUUCAACUUUCUGAGGUCAUGGCAGCGGUGUCAAGAAAUACCUCAUUACAUACCGAGGAAGUUAACGCUAAAAUGCUUUCUUCAAGAAUUGACAAUCCUGUCAGUAAGUUUAGUGGUUUCCGUCAAGGUUUAGGAAGGAGAGAACAAAUACAAAAUCAAGAUGUAUCCUUUGAGAAAAGUUUCAAGUUACCAUAA